rnacentral:rRNA from 2 species
CUUGAUUAAACCAUAAGAGGUCCAGCCUGCCCAGUGACAUUGUUCAACGGCCGCGGUAUCCUAACCGUGCGAAGGUAGCGUAAUCACUUGUCCUUUAAAUGAAGACUAGUAUGAAUGGCCCCACGAAAGCUAUACUGUCUCCUUUUUCUAAUCAGUUAAACUAAUCUCCCCGUGAAGAAGCGGGGAUAAACAUAUAAGACGAGAAGACCCUAUGGAGCUUCAAACAACUGAAACACUUGUAUAUCCUCCCCUCACCUACCAACAUUUAACCUCACAUUUUGUUUCUAGUUUUAGGUUGGGGUGACCACGGAGAAAAAACUAACCUCCACGACGAAAGAGACAUCUCUAAACAAAAAGCUACAUCUUUAUGUAUUAACACAUUAACCUUUAUUGACCCAAUAAAUUGAUCAACGAAC